rnacentral:rRNA from 1 species
GAUGAACGCUGGCGGCGUGCCUAAUACAUGCAAGUCGAGCGAACAGACGAGGAGCUUGCUCCUCUGACGUUAGCGGCGGACGGGUGAGUAACACGUGGAUAACCUACCUAUAAGACUGGGAUAACUUCGGGAAACCGGAGCUAAUACCGGAUAAUAUAUUGAACCGCAUGGUUCAAUAGUGAAAGACGGUUUUGCUGUCACUUAUAGGUGGAUCCGCGCCGCAUUAGCUAGUUGGUAAGGUAACGGCUUACCAAGGCAACGAUGCGUAGCCGACCUGAGAGGGUCAUCGGCCACACUGGAACUGAGACACGGUCCAGACUCCUACGGGAGGCAGCAGUAGGGAAUCUUCCGCAAAGGGCGAAAGCCUGACGGAGCAACGCCGCGUGAGUGAUGAAGGUCUUCGGAUCGUAAAACUCUGUUAUUAGGGAAGAACAAAUGUGUAAGUAACUAUGCACGUCUUGACGGUACCUAAUCAGAAAGCCACGGCUAACUACGUG